rnacentral:rRNA from 1 species
UACGUAGGCAGCGAGCGUUUGUUCGGAGUUACUGGGCGUAAAGAGUGCGUAGGCGGUUUUCUAAGUUUGGUGUGAAAUCUCCCGCUUAACUGGGAGGGUGCGCCGAAGACUGGAAGGCUUGAGUAUGGGAGAGGUAAGCGGAAUUCCUGGUGUAGCGGUGAAAUGCGUAGAUAUCAGGAGGAACACCUGCGGUGUAGACGGCUUACUGGGACCUCACUGACGUUUGAGGGACGAAGGCUUGGGUAGCAAACAGG